rnacentral:snoRNA from 1 species
GGGUCUCUAGAGCCUUCUCCAUAAGCUGUUGGCCCUGCCUGGGGGCUGUCAGGGCAGCCCCAUGGAAGCUGAAGCU